AUUGAACGCUGGCGGCAUGCUUUACACAUGCAAGUCGAGCGGAGCGAGGGUGCUUGCACCUUAGCUUAGCGGCGGACGGGUGAGUAAUGCUUAGGAAUCUGCCUAUUAGUGGGGGACAACAUUCCGAAAGGAAUGCUAAUACCGCAUACGCCCUACGGGGGAAAGCAGGGGAUCUUCGGACCUUGCGCUAAUAGAUGAGCCUAAGUCGGAUUAGCUAGUUGGUGGGGUAAAGGCCUACCAAGGCGACGAUCUGUAGCGGGUCUGAGAGGAUGAACCGCCAAACUGGGACUGAGACACGGCCCAGACUCCUACGGGAGGCAGCAGUGGGAAUAUUGGACAAUGGGCGGAAGCCUGAUCCAGCCAUGCCGCGUGUGUGAAGAAGGCCUUUUGGUUGUAAAGCACUUUAAGCGAGGAGGAGGCUACUGGUACUAAUACUACUGGAUAGUGGACGUUACUCGCAGAAUAAGCACCGGCUAACUCUGUGCCAGCCGCCGCCGUAAUAC
rnacentral:rRNA from 1 species